rnacentral:sRNA from 1 species
UCAACAUCUUCCGCCGGGCGCUGGUGUUU